GACGAACGCUGGCGGCGUGCCUAACACAUGCAAGUCGAGCGAAUGAAGUUCCUUCGGGAACGGAUUUAGCGGCGGACGGGUGAGUAACACGUGGGCAACCUGCCUCAUAGAGGGGAAUAGCCUUCCGAAAGGGAGAUUAAUACCGCAUAAGAUUGUAAUACCGCAUGGUACAGCAAUUAAAGGAGUAAUCCGCUAUGAGAUGGGCCCGCGGCGCAUUAGCUAGUUGGUGAGGUAACGGCUCACCAAGGCGACGAUGCGUAGCCGACCUGAGAGGGUGAUCGGCCACAUUGGGACUGAGACACGGCCCAGACUCCUACGGGAGGCAGCAGUGGGGAAUAUUGCACAAUGGGGGAAACCCUGAUGCAGCAACGCCGCGUGAGUGAUGACGGCCUUCGGGUUGUAAAGCUCUGUCUUCAGGGACGAUAAUGACGGUACCUGAGGAGGAAGCCACGGCUAACUACGUGCCAGCAGCCGCGGUAA
rnacentral:rRNA from 1 species